rnacentral:lncRNA from 1 species
AUCAAUCAACUAAGCAUAGAUGUAAACAUGGAUUUAACAAUUCUCACCAAGCAAGUGUUUCCCUCAAUCACUCAAGUGUUUAAGGAGGUCACUCUACUCUCUACUGUUCACAUGUAACAUAAAACAAUAUUGUCAUUCAUCUAAAACAAUCAACAUCUUCUCAUGCAUAUGUCAUCCCAAGGACUUUUUCCAAGGCUUGUAUUGUGGCUAGGCUAUCAAGAAAAUUGAUUUUUCUGGAAUACAAAAUCCUUGAGUUAAGAGAGUUUAAAUCAUUAUUCAAAGUUCAAGUACACUCUCUUUUUAACCAAUCUCACUUAUUCCCAACUUUUCGCCUUUUUCAUUUUACAUUGAGUUCUCUUUACAUGUUUUUCUCUUUUCUUCUUUUCUUUCCUUUCUCAUGCAUUUUUCUUCUUCAUCUUUUGAACUCAAUGCUUUUGCUUUUGCCUUUUACUUUCCCCAUAUAACCCCAAACUUGAACCUUUUUAUCACAUACAAUUAUUCUCAACCCUAACUCAAGGUAAAUCACUUCAAAUAAGGGUCUUCAUACUAUUUAAGGUCAAGGUUCAAAAAGGUAUAUUAUUUAAAAUCCUUUGGGUGAAAGUUUGGCUAAGUAAGAGCUUUCCAAACAUGGCCUUGAUCAUAUGACAUACACAUGCAAUUCAAUCAAUUAUCAAGAUU